rnacentral:lncRNA from 10 species
AAAAAAUCUAUAAACAAACCCAGUGAAGAUUAUAUUGUAAUAUCAUUUAAUAAAAAUUAUUAUUAGCUAUCUAAACUUGGGCAAACUCUUCACUUUUUGUAUUAGGCCAUUCUUGUGCUGCUAUGAAGAAAUAUCCGAGACUGGAUAAUUUAUAAAAUAAGAAGUUUGGCUCACAGUUCUGCAAGCUGUGCAAGAAGAAUAGCAGCCUCAGGAAGCUUCCAAUCAUGGCAGAAAGCAAAGCCAGGUCGCCAUGGGUUGGGCAGAUCCUGAAGAGAACCAACUUGAGUCUGACAGUCCUUCCAGAACACGGCACCCACCUCCACCAUAUAACACAGCCAGGUGAAACACUAAGGAGGCUCUGUAAGGCAUGACUCUGAAGAAGGCCACUAUCUUUUACUGCCGUGACACCAUUUCUCAGAACACAUCACAUGGCCCCUGAGUGGUCAGGAGUCCAGAGAAAAACAGUCAAGCCCUCCUUUAAUAGUAAAAUUUUUGUCUGACCCUCUUCUUUGUGGAAGUUCUCUCUUUAAUUCUUCUUGAAAUAUAAUGCCUAUUUGAAAUCUGAGGAAACAAAAGCUCAGAAAGUGACUGGGUCCUUGACUUCCCAGCUCUUUACUACAGUCACUGGGGAACACAGUGACCCCAUCCCUAAUCGCUUCUUCAAGCGGUGCAAGUGACCCAGGAAUUCCCCGGCCAUUGCACAAUGAACUUUCCAUACCUUUAUUGGGAAUUCAGUUGUGGGGAGGAAAUCAAGGCUUUCAAAAACAUUAUCAGUAGACAAAAAUGAAGCCCCAUCUGCAUUUGAAUUUUCUAGUUUCUCAGUGUCAGGCAUUGAAUUGUCAUGGUUUGGCUCCCACUCGUUUUCUGCUUCAACGCUCAACAAGAAGACAUGGAAGUGCAGCAUCACCUAGAAUUCACUUGG